GAUGAACGCUGGCGGCGUGCUUAACACAUGCAAGUCGAACGGGAUCCAAGGGGUGCUUGCACUUUUUGGUGAGAGUGGCGAACGGGUGAGUAACACGUGAGUAACCUGUCCUUUUCUUUGGGAUAAGCAUUCGAAAGGGUGUUUAAUACCUUAUGUUCUGUCUGCCUCGCAUGGGGUGGGUGGGAAAGGCUUUGGCCGGAUUUGGGUGGGCUCGCGGUCUAUCAGCUUGUUGGUGGGGUGAUGGCUUACCAAGGCUUUGACGGGUAGCCGGCCUGAGAGGGUGGUCGGCUACAGUGGGACUGAGCUACGGCCCAGGCUCCGGCGGGAGGCAGCAGUGGGGGAUAUUGCACAAUGGGCGAAAGCCUGAUGCAGCGACGCCGCGUGGGGGAUGAAGGCCUUCGGGUUGUAAACUUCUUUUGCUCUGAACAAGGCAUGCCAGUGGGUGUGUUGAGUGUAGGGGUUGAUUAGCGCCGGCUAACUACGUG
rnacentral:rRNA from 1 species